rnacentral:rRNA from 1 species
UACGUAGGGGGCGAGCGUUGUCCGGAAUUAUUGGGCGUAAAGGGCGUGUAGGCGGUUCCGUAAGUUGGAUGUUAAAGGUAUGGGCUCAACUCAUACAUCGCAUUCAAUACUGCGGUUCUAGAGAUUGGUAGAGGAAAACGGAACUUCCGGUGUAGCGGUGAAAUGCGUAGAUAUCGGAAGGAACACCAGUGGCGAAGGCGGUUUUCUGGGCCAAUUCUGACGCUGAGGCGCGAAAGCUAGGGGAGCAAACAGG